ensembl:lncRNA
AGAAGUGAUAUCGGUGAAGAGGAGUUUCAAAAACUGAUACUUUACAGAGAUGUUGAUCUUCCUUUCUUGGACUCAGGCUUGCCCACCAUAAGCAGCAGCUGAAGCUGCUGAACUCUGCUGUGCAAACUGCAGUCUCCUGAUAAUGCAGGGCCAUAGGGGACAAGGAGGCUGGUCUCAGUGUCUGUCUGGGGCAGUGGUGCACGUGGCUCCCUUCAGCCUAAUGAUGAAAAGGGAAAUGGGAUGAGGUCUUCACUAUCGAGAAAGGAGAAUCAGAAGUCAAGUCCUAUGUGCCAGGACACGGUCAGGCUGGGAUGAGGAAGGUGAUUCUCUCCAAAGGGCAUGGAACUAUUGGCAGCCUGCCUCUUUCCCUCCUCUUCCUCUGAAGCACCCUGGAGUCAGGAUGCAGCCUUUAAUGACUCAGUAGUCUGCUUGGCUGUGGCAGAUCUUACAUUUCUGGAGAGAAUCAAUAUAAACACUUUCUUUUGUCUUUCCUUUAUUUUUUUUCCCCUUUACCCAUUGUACUGCCUCCUAUUUCACUGUCUGCUGUCUACCAGCGCCUAAGGAAACUGUGAUUGGUAAUUACUGGUGCCUGGUGCUGCCCAGCCUGCAACAAAAUUGCUCAGUGUGAAAGCAGUGAGCAAAAUAAUGCAGUUGGAUUCCCUUAGAUGUGAUAGACAUUCAUCCUGAUCCUUAAUUCAGUUUCCAUUGGGAGGACAGAUCUCAGCUGCCUCUUCAUUUCCUGGUUUGGAGACUGACUCAGAAUUGAAGACAUUAAGCAUUAAAAUUAGCUGAAAAAUAAAGGGUGGAGAUGCGAAUAAUGUCAGGGACUUUGCAUUCUAUUUCUCACGAGCUUUCAAACUUGUUCAACUUUUAAGAAAAGUCUUGUUUAAUACUUGUUGUUCCAGCUACUUUUAGAAGACAUUUUGGAAGACAGGAAGGCCAGAUACUUCAGGCAAGAGGCAUAAUGACUUGGGGCACAGACCACUAAAAAAAAAAAAUCAAUCCUGAAUCCCUGAGGCUUCUGUACUCUUGUUGAGAAGGCAGAACCUAGUGUUUCAUCAAAUUUUUUGUGAUAACCAUUGAUGACGUUGCAGAAACCAUGAUAAUGUAAAAUAAUGGAUUAAAUUUGUAUGAGCAUAACUGUAGUGAUGAAACAAUUUAAACUCAUUUCUGAAGGCAUUCAUGCACUGGUGCUUGCUCAGGGUGUGAGCUAGAAGGCCACUAUCCCUUCAAAAUUAGACAGAGAUGUUGAUGACCAUUCUCAGUUAUUAUACUUCUAAAUUACAGCCUGUCCUCAUCCUUGAAGAUCAAAAAGGGAGUAAUUUCUGUUUUACAGGAGAUUACUCGCACUACAAGUCUAACUCUUGUUCACUUUGAGGUACUUAAAUAAAUCUGGAGCCCUGGCUGUAGGACAGACAGACAGUUCCAGUGGGAAAAUCAGCUCUGAAUUUCAUAAUGGGAAUUUCAUUCAUUUUCUGAAUGUGUUCAUCCUUAUCCAUUAGCCCAGAGGACCCAGGACUAGCAGACGCCUUUGAAAUUCAGCCCACUGCCUCAGGUUAGAUUAAAUGAAUCCAUACUUCUGAUCAGCAGAGUUAAAAAAAAAAAUACAAAACCCAAACCAACCAAAAAGCACCAACAACCACAUAACCAUAUAAUAAUAUGGAAGGAAAUAAAGGACAAGGGAUAUUUUUAUUUGUGCAGCUGACCAGAUAUUUCCAUCUUUGGAUUGCUCCCUCUGCUGCCUGCAAGGUAGCUGGAGGGGAGCUAGCAAAGCUACCCAGGUGGACUCUGCAUCCCUCUUCCUCGCCCAACUCCCAGCAUUAGAGAUGCCGACAGUUACUAGAUAAAGUUAAAGACUCAUGUAGUGAUCUUCACACUAAUUGGACUGUAAUGUAUAGCCUCGGUCAAGCAAAUCUCUCCCAGCACUCCUCUCCACAGACGGCAAUCAAGCCAUUUACAGAAGAUGCAUCGGCUGCUGGGACCCUGGAGUAACCUUAAACUACGCUGGCCUUUUAGCAGAAAACACAAUUAAUUUUGAUACUGAAGGGCAAUUAGGACUGGGGUUAAAAUAAAAAAUCUUCUGAACAGAGAAUGUCAAAGACUGGUAAGGAAACUAUUUCCCUUGUACACAGCUUGUUGAAGGUCUGUAAGCACGGCGACUGUCAGCUCACGUUAAUUCAUAUCACUUUGAAAACCUCUCAUUUCAAUGUAGGAAAUAUAAAUUCAGAUUAAUAAGCACUGUGCUCAAACCUCACUAAGACUGAUGGCUGUUUUCUUUAAGUCUUUUGCUGCUGAAAUGAGCACAGCUUCUCCCUCUUGCUGGGGAAACCUGUUUUACAUCCCAGAAUGUAGUGAAAUGACCAAAUGCAUUUAUUUUGUUCUGUUUCAUUUCUAAAAGAAGAUAGUCUCCCAGAUGACGCUCUGCAGAUCACGGCUGAGAGCAAAUCUUGUCAGCAACUCUGUAAACUACUCUUUAGAAAUACAGAAGAUGUUCACAGUAAUACAUAUCUACAAUGCACCCACAUGCCCUGAUGCAUGUGCAAGGCAGCCAAAAUUUUGACCUCGCCUGCACGAACUGCAUAGGUCGAUGCCACUCUCAAUAAGUCAAGCAAAUGCACCAG